AGAGUUUGAUCCUGGCUCAGAAUCAACGCUGGCGGCGCGCUUAACACAUGCAAGUCGAACGAGAAAGCAGGGGCAACCCUGUGAGUAAAGUGGCGUACGGGUGAGUAACACGUGGGUAAUCUACCUCCGAGUGGGGAAUAACGCUGGGAAACCGGCGCUAAUACCGCAUAAGCCUGGGAAGGGAAAGCAGCAAUGCGCUGGGAGAGGAGCCCGCGGCCGAUUAGCUUGUUGGCAGGGUAAAAGCCUACCAAGGCAAAGAUCGGUAGCCGGCCUGAGAGGGCACACGGCCACACUGGCACUGAAACACGGGCCAGACUCCUACGGGAGGCAGCAGUGGGGAAUCUUGCACAAUGGGGGAAACCCUGAUGCAGCGACGCCGCGUGAGCGAUGAAGCCCUUCGGGGUGUAAAGCUCUUUCGGCAGGGACGAAAGAUGACGGUACCUGCAGAAGCAGCUGCGGCUAACUACGUGCCAGCAGCCGCGGUAAUACGUAGGCAGCGAGCGUUGUUCGGAGUUACUGGGCGUAAAGGGUGCGUAGGCGGUCCUUUAAGUUUGGUGUGAAAUCUCCCGGCUCAACUGGGAGGGUGCGCCGGAUACUGAGGGACUAGAGUGCGGGAGAGGAAAGUGGAAUUCCUGGUGUAGCGGUGAAAUGCGUAGAUAUCAGGAGGAACACCGGUGGUGUAAACGGCUUUCUGGACCGUAACUGACGCUGAGGCACGAAAGCGUGGGGAGCAAACAGGAUUAGAUACCCUGGUAGUCCACGCCCUAAACGAUGCACGUUUGGUGUGGGUGAUUCAGUUCAUCCGUGCCGGAGCUAACGCGUUAAACGUGCCGCCUGGGGAGUACAGUCGCAAGGCUGAAACUUAAAGGAAUUGAUGG
rnacentral:rRNA from 1 species